rnacentral:misc_RNA from 1 species
GGAAGUAAAGGUCGUAACAAGGUCUCCGUUGGUGAACCAGCGGAGGGAUCAUUACAGGAUCGAAAGACUCCUAUAACCCCUGUGAACUUACUACAAAUACGUUGCUUCGGCGGGUGCCCCGGGUCUCCCGGGGCGUUCAGCCCGCCGGCAGCCUUCAAAUUCUGUUUCUUUGCGUUGGCAUCUCGAGUAUACAAAAAUAAGUUAAAACUUUCAACAACGGAUCUCUUGGUUCUG